rnacentral:hammerhead_ribozyme from 1 species
AUCCAGCUGACGAGUCCCAAAUAGGAUGAAAACGCGCGCCCUGGNN